GGAAGCAUUACUGCAGCAGUGCGCUGUUAGUCCUUGUGAGCCUAUAUAAGGAGACUGUGUGGAAGCAGGCGCGGCACAUUGCAGACGGCAGAAGAAAGAGGAAGAAUGAAGGAACGGGGAGGACGCUCAGCUGUGCAAGCCAUGGUGACCCAGAAGACGGAUCUGUCAAGAGAAGAUAAUCCACUGACGUGAGCAGGAACAUGUCCGCACUGUAGGGGGAUAUAAUGAAGUACUCAGGAGACGUGCCUAGAAGCCAAGACUGAACAGUGCUGUGAUCAGGUUCUCCUACCUUGUUGUGAAUGAGUGUCUCUGCAGCCCUUGUGAUGGGUGCGGCUGCUCCCAGUGAAUGUGUGCCGUGAGUUACCACUAGGUGGCAGUAUGAUUCUACCAGUUACAGUAAGCCUGACAGAUGAGCACUCGCUGUGGGGAGGGGGUGGGUGGGGGAACAUUGAGUUUUCUCCAAAUUUUAUUUUACAGGUGUUAUGAACUUGUCUGAAGUCUUAAGGUGAAAAAUUAAAAGCUCCAUCAGCAGCUCUAAACUUAAAUGAAAUGUUCAAGUUACUUUCUAAAGAAGGCUAAUACAGGCAUCUGAUACUGGUAUAUAAUUUUGGUAUCUGGUUUACUUUGGGGUUCCCAGUCUGAAUUAACCACUUAGUCUCCUUAGUUAUGGCCAAGUCUAAAUGAAGGGGGGAGAAUAACAGACUGUAGGCUAGUUAGUGGCUAAAGCCCAUGUGCUCUGAGGAUCCUCUGACCUCACAGCGUCACGUGGCAUGUGAAGCCUCCAGCCCACCAUCAUUAGGGUUGGGUAUUACUGAUGGAUAUGACCAUGCAUGGUGUUUAGCCCUGCUCCUAUAUACUACCAGACUCGAGCAUGUCACGUGACACGUAGUUCACAGGAUUUAGCCAUUAGCCUGUAGUUAUGAUCCUCUAUAAUUUAUGGGUAGUAGUUAACGAUACGGGGGGUGGGGUGGUUAUAAAUGGCUAUUUUUAGAUUCUUUACAGAACACACCCACAUGUCAAGCACUACCUGUUCCUGCCAAGACCUACAGUGGAUCCUUAGAUGAUGCUUCCCUUAGCCUGUGAUGUACUACAGCCCAGUGUACCAUUAGGAGCUUGGGUCCUUAUCUUGUGAGCCUGAGGUGUUCCCUACCUGUGCCAGUGGUUUCUGCAUCUGAAGGUCCCAGUGCUACUGUCCAGUCAGUGGAAGGACUUCUUGGUUCCUGUUGAUCCCAUCAUCAAAUCUCCUAGCUUUUGGUCCCUAAUAAAGAUGAGCAUCUAGAAAGGCCCCCCCUUCCUCAAUUUGUCUUGGAGCGUUACCGCAUGAGAGAGGUCGCUCACUACACGUCCGUGGUAUUCUGCAAGCCAAAGUCCAGUUACUAUUCUCUAUCGAUCGUCACAUGCCCCAUCCCCUAAUGAAGAUGAGCAUCUAGAAAGCCCCUUCCUCCAUUUGUCUUGUGAGCAAGAGGUCAUUCCCUAAAGCCAAGCCAAAAUCCUGUUCCUACUGCCCAGUGAGUGGGAGAACUCUGCUGAUCGUCACUUGCCCUAUCCCCUAAUAAAGAUGAGCUGCUAGUGUGGUCCCUUGUUAGCCCUAGCCCUUUGAGGGCUUGAUAAGUUGCUGAACUGUAUAAUUUUGUGCACAUUGAAGAAAGGCCACCACCUUAAGAACUCUUGUGUAAGAUGAAUACCUCUACAUAAGUCAAGAACUUUUCUUCCAGAGAUCCGAUACCUGUUCUAAAUCCUGUAGUAGGGCUGGAAGUGAAAUGUUUAUUGAUUCUUUUAUAUUUGAGGGGAUGUUAAUGUUUACUGCAUUGCUGAUUGACCUGUAUUUGAGGGGGUGAUAUCUUUGUGUAUAUUAUGCAAUAUUUUUGUUUAGUUCCUUGCUGUAAUGUGUGCCAUAUUUGAGAAGCCUGUAGCGUCAGUGUGCCACAUGAGCACCUAGUUUGAAUGCGUUUCCAAAUUUGUGCUUUUGUAUUUGUUGAGCGCUUAUUUAAUUCCUACUUGCCUCCUGUGAUUAAUUCUAGACCUCAAUGACUAGGUCUAUUAGUGUCUGUGUCUAGUUACUGGUACACUUAAUAGGAGGGCGAGUAUAUUUGCUGAAUGAGGUAUCAAAUGAUUAACUAGCAUUAAAACACUACACUAUCCUGCUAAUUCAAUUAAACACCACAAUAUCAUGAUAAACCAAUCAAAAAGAGUAUAUAAGAGGAAGUCUACAUACAGCCUAUUACUCAACCACCAGCAAUAACAGGAAAGCAUCAAAUUCUUCACUUGAGCUACAGAUCCUCCCCCACCGGAAACACGCUUGGGACCAGAUACACAGGAGGCGACCUGUUCCUUUACCUUGAGUCCUCUACAGCCAGGAGUGCGGAGCUCCCUGCAUAAAACAAUACUAUGAAAGUCUUCCAAGCCACAAUCAUAUAACUUGGGUUUUUACUUCCAUAAAACAUCUUGGGUGUGUUUUACUUAAUAACCAAGAAAUAACUAAAGUAAUAAAACAAGUUAUCAAUUAAUACCUUAGCAAGUCACAAUCAUAUAACGUAGGUUUUUACUUCCAUAAAACAUCUUGGGUGUGUUUACUUAAUAACCAAGAAAUAACUAAAGUAAUAAAACAUGUUAUCAAUUAAUACCUUAUUCAUCAAACCUGUAAAUUACCUCUACAUGCUUGGAAUGAUUCCAUAAAAGGACACAACCGCCUAAACAGCCACCUUUAUACAUGGACCAAUGUUAUUAAUCUUAACCAAGUGUGCCAUAUGGCUUCCUAACGCUGAACGGGUACGAUUCUCACAUGUAAUAAAUGACAACCGUAUGGCUGCGCUAUAAAGUAUUCCUAAGUGAAGGCAAUUACGGCUAUAGCCUCCGAUUACAGGUACUCCGGCAUCACUGCUAUUUAGUAAGGUUUUGUUGCCGCGAUAAAUACAUUCUUGUACUUGGGGUUACUAUCUAGUGCUCUUGUUGGAUGAGUGUGUGGCUUCUGCUUGAGUCGUCAGUAUUCUAGUAGGGCCUCCUGAGUGGUUUCCAUUAGUGUGCAUCACACUGUACUUAUGAGUUCACCCCAAUGUUAUAUAUUUGACCUCUUUCAAUAAAAGUUCAGGUAUUGA